UGGGAAUGUAGUUCAGUGGCAGAGCACAGGUUUAAUAUGUGGGAGGCCCUGGGAUCAAUCCCCAGCACUAA
rnacentral:tRNA from 1 species